GAUGAAGAACGCAGCGAAAUGCGAUAAGUAGUGUGAAUUGCAGAAUUCAGUGAAUCAUCGAAUCUUUGAACGCACAUUGCGCCCCUUGGUAUUCCGGGGGGCAUGCCUGUUCGAGCGUCAUUUCAACCCUCAAGCUCUGCUUGGUAUUGGGCACCGUCCUUUGCGGGCGCGCCUCAAAGACCUCGGCGGUGGCGUCUUGCCUCAAGCGUAGUAGAAUACACCUCGCUUCGGAGCGUAAGGCGUCGCCCGCCGGACGAACCUUCUGAACUUUUCUCAAGGUUGACCUCGGAUCAGGUAGGGAUACCCGCUGAACUUAAGCAUAUCAAUAAGCGGAGGA
rnacentral:misc_RNA from 1 species